AUGAACGCUAGCUACAGGCUUAACACAUGCAAGUCGAGGGGCAGCAUUUUAGUUUGCUUGCAAACUGAAGAUGGCGACCGGCGCACGGGUGAGUAACACGUAUCCAACCUGCCGAUAACUCCGGGAUAGCCUUUCGAAAGAAAGAUUAAUACCGGAUAGCAUACGAAUAUCGCAUGAUAUUUUUAUUAAAGAAUUUCGGUUAUCGAUGGGGAUGCGUUCCAUUAGUUUGUUGGCGGGGUAACGGCCCACCAAGACUACGAUGGAUAGGGGUUCUGAGAGGAAGGUCCCCCACAUUGGAACUGAGACACGGUCCAAACUCCUACGGGAGGCAGCAGUGAGGAAUAUUGGUCAAUGGGCGCGAGCCUGAACCAGCCAAGUAGCGUGAAGGAUGAAGGCUCUAUGGGUCGUAAACUUCUUUUAUAUGGGAAUAAAGUUUUCCACGUGUGGAAUUUUGUAUGUACCAUAUGAAUAAGGAUCGGCUAACUCCGUGCCAGCAGCCGCGGUAAUACGGAGGAUCCGAGCGUUAUCCGGAUUUAUUGGGUUUAAAGGGAGCGUAGGUGGAUUGUUAAGUCAGUUGUGAAAGUUUGCGGCUCAACCGUAAAAUUGCAGUUGAAACUGGCAGUCUUGAGUACAGUAGAGGUGGGCGGAAUUCGUGGUGUAGCGGUGAAAUGCUUAGAUAUCACGAAGAACUCCGAUUGCGAAGGCAGCUCACUAGACUGUCACUGACACUGAUGCUCGAAAGUGUGGGUAUCAAACAGGAUUAGAUACCCUGGUAGUCCACACAGUAAACGAUGAAUACUCGCUGUUUGCGAUAUACAGUAAGCGGCCAAGCGAAAGCAUUAAGUAUUCCACCUGGGGAGUACGCCGGCAACGGUGAAACUCAAAGGAAUUGACGGGGGCCCGCACAAGCGGUGGAGCAUGUGGUUUAAUUCGAUGCAACGCGAAGAACCUUACCUGGUCUUGACAUCCACAGAACUUUCCAGAGAUGGAUUGGUGCCUUCGGGAACUGUGAGACAGGUGCUGCAUGGCUGUCGUCAGCUCGUGUUGUGAAAUGUUGGGUUAAGUCCCGCAACGAGCGCAACCCCUGUUUCUAGUUGCCAGCAUGUAAAGAUGGGAACUCUAGAAAGACUGCCGUAGAUAAUACGGAGGAAGGUGGGGACGACGUCAAAUCAUCAUGCCCUUUAUGUCCUGGGCUACACACGUACUACAAUGGCGUUAAACAAAGAGAAGCAAGACCGCGAGGUGGAGCAAAACUCAGAAACAACGUCCCAGUUCGGACUGCAGGCUGCAACUCGCCUGCACGAAGUCGGAAUUGCUAGUAAUCGUGGAUCAGCAUGCCACGGUGAAUACGUUCCCGGGCCUUGUACACACCGCCCGUCACACCAUGAGAGUUGGGGAUACCCGAAGCCUGUGAGCCAACUUUAAAAGAGGCAGCAGUCGAAGGUAGAAUCAAUGAUUGGGGUG
rnacentral:rRNA from 1 species